GAUGAACGCUAGCUACAGGCUUAACACAUGCAAGUCGAGGGGAAACGAUAGAGAAAGCUUGCUUUUUCUAGGCGUCGACCGGCGCACGGGAGAGUAACGCGUACCCAACCUGCCCAUCACUUGGGGAUAACCUUGCGAAAGUAAGACUAAUACCCAAUGACGUCCAUAGAAGACAUCUGAAAUGGAUUAAAGAUUUAUCGGGGAUGGAUGGGGAUGCGUCUGAUUAGCUUGUUGGCGGGGUAACGGACCACCAAGGCGACGAUCAGUAGGGGUUCUGAGAGGAAUGUCCCCCACAUUGGAACUGAGACACGGUCCAAACUCCUACGGGAGGCAGCAGUGAGGAAUAUUGGUCAAUGGACGAGUGUCUGAACCAGCCAAGUAGCGUGCAGGAUGACGGCCCUAUGGGUUGUAAACUGCUUUUAUAAGGGAAUAAAGUGGGAGUCGUGACUCCUUUUGCAUGUACCUUAUGAAUAAGGACCGGCUAAUUCCGUGCCAGCCGCCGCGGUAA
rnacentral:rRNA from 1 species